rnacentral:rRNA from 1 species
GCCCCGUAAUCGGAAUGAGUACACUUUAAAUCCUUUAACAAGGAUCCAUUGGAGGGCAAGUCUGGUGCCAGCAGCCGCGGUAAUUCCAGCUCCAAUAGCGUAUAUUAAAGUUGUUGCGGUUAAAAAGCUCGUAGUUGGUUCUGCGUGCCGCGCUGUCGGUUCGCCGCCUGUCGGUGUAACUGGCAUGUCGCGGCAUGUCCUGUCGGUGGUGAACGGAGUCCACGACGCUACAUGGGCUUUAUAGUCGAUGUUAGCAUCGUGUGUACUUCCGUUGGCCGAUCUCUCCUACUUCGGUGCUCUUAAACGAGUGUCGAGGUAGGCCGACACGUUCACUUUGAACAAAUUAGAGUGCUUAAAGCAGGCUGAAAUAUCUGCCUGAAUAGUGGUGCAUGGAAUGAUAAAACAGGACCUCGGUUCUAUUUUGUUGGUUUUAGGAAUAUGAGGUAAUGAUCAAUGUGGACUGGCGGGGGCAUUCGUAUUGCGACGUUAGAGGUGAAAUUCUUGGAUCGUCGCAAGACGCACUAGAGCGAAAGCAUUUGCCAAGUAUGUCUUAAUUGAUCAAGAACGAAAGUUAGAGGUUCGAAGGCGAUCAGAUACCGCCCUAGUUCUAACCAUAAACGAUGCCAGCCAGCGAUCCGCCGAUGUUCCUUUAAUGACUCGGCGGGGAGCUUCCACCCGGG